UACAGAGGGGGCGAGCGUUAUUCGGAAUCACUGGGCGUAAAGGGUGCGUAGGCGGGUCUUUAAGUCAGGGGUGAAAUCCUGGAGCUCAACUCCAGAACUGCCUUUGAUACUGAGGAUCUUGAGUACGGGAGAGGUGAGUGGAACUGCGAGUGUAGAGGUGAAAUUCGUAGAUAUUCGCAAGAACACCAGUGGCGAAGGCGGCCCACUGGCCCGUUACUGACGCUGAGGCACGAAAGCGUGGGGAGCAAACAGG
rnacentral:rRNA from 1 species